AUGCAGGCCGCCACAGCGCGCGCGCGCCGCCUUCUCGCGUCACCAGCGGCCUCCGGGAUCCAGGGAAUCCUCUCCGCCUCUCACCGCGGGUGCGCGGCGGCCGCCGAGCUCGUUCUCCUGCCCCAUCUCGAGAAUGGCUUCCCCGCCUCGCGCUCCUCUCCGGAUCACACCAGGAGCUUCUCCUCCCACCUGCCCCGCACUUUGCUAUCGCAAACCGCAACUUCUCAUUGCCGGUGUAACAAAUCAGUGUGCUAUCACAUGGCAAGAGCUCAUUUGUCGACAGACUCAAGCGGAAUCGACCAACCUAAAGAAUCUGCAGAGGAGCUGUACCAGAAAAUGCUGAAGUCUGUUGAAGCCCAGACUAUGCCGCCAAAUGCCUGGUUGUGGUCAAUGAUCAGUAGUUGCUCCAGUGAGGAGGAUAUAAAACUUCUCUUUCAGAUUUUGCAGAAGCUAAGAAUAUUCAGGCUAUCAAAUCUUCGCAUCAAUGCAAACUUCAACGACCAUCUCUGUAUGAAAGUUUCUGAGGCUUGUGCUCGUGUGGGUGUCCUUGACUAUGGGUUGAAGGUUUUAUGGAAUCAUAAUGUUUAUGGAAUAACGCCAACCAUUGGUUCUGCCCAUUAUCUACUGCAACAUGCUAAAGAGCACAAUGAUACUAAAUUAAUGGAGAAGAUAAUGCAAGUCCUUAGGAGGAAUUCCUUGCCAUUACAACCAGGCACUGCUGAUAUUGUCUUCAGUAUCUGCUAUAACACUGAUAGAUGGGAUUUACUCUCAAAAUAUGCGGCAAGAUUUGUUCAGGCUGGAGUCAAGUUGCGUCGUACUGCAUUUGACGUAUGGAUGGAAUUUGCUGCCAAAGUUGGAGAUUCUCAAUCUAUAUGGAACAUCAAUAGCCUGAGAGGCAAGUCUAUCAAGCACUAUACUCUUACAUCAGGUUUUGCAUGCGUAAAGGGGUCUCUGCUUGAACGCAGGCCAGAAAAUGCCGCUGCCACCAUUAAACUUCUUCACAAGCACUUGCCUGAUCAGAAGAAACCAUUUGUGAAAGAUGAACUCCAAAAGCUUGUUGCUGAAUGGCCAACAGAGGUGAUAAAAAGGCAGAAGAAGGAUGAUAGGAAGGCAAUGGAGGAAGCUUUGAUUGAGGACAUCCCAAAGAUGAUCAGCUCCAUGGCGAAGUCGGGCCUCGAUAUUUCCGUGGAUCUGGACAAGCUCACCCGUCAGCCUGAAGCAGCGUAG
rnacentral:rRNA from 1 species